GACGAACGCUGGCGGCGUGCUUAACACAUGCAAGUCGAGCGAUGAAACACCUUCGGGUGCGGAUUAGCGGCGAACGGGUGAGGAACACGUGAGGAAUCUGCCUUCCACUCUGGGAUAACUCCGGGAAACCGGGGCUAAUACCGGAUACUUUCAACUGGCGGCAUCGCCGGUUGAAGAAAGUUUUUCGGUGGAAGAUGACCUCGCGGCCUAUCAGCUUGUUGGUGAGGUAAAGGCUCACCAAGGCGACGACGGGUAGCCGGCCUGAGAGGGCGACCGGCCACACUGGGACUGAGACACGGCCCAGACUCCUACGGGAGGCAGCAGUGGGGAAUAUUGGGCAAUGGAGGAAACUCUGACCCAGCGACGCCGCGUGAGGGAUGAAGGCCUUCGGGUUGUAAACCUCCUUCAGCAGGGAAUAAGCGAAAGUGAAGGUACCUGCAGAAGAAGCACCGGCUAACUAUGUGCCAGCAGCCGCAGUAA
rnacentral:rRNA from 1 species